AGUGAACGCUGGCGGUAGACCUAACACAUGCAAGUCGAACGGCAGCACAGUAAGAGCUUGCUCUUACGGGUGGCGAGUGGCGGACGGGUGAGGAAUACAUCGGAAUCUACUUUUUCGUGGGGGAUAACGUAGGGAAACUUACGCUAAUACCGCAUACGACCUACGGGUGAAAGCAGGGGAUCUUCGGACCUUGCCCGAUUGAAUGAGCCGAUGUCGGAUUAGCUAGUUGGCGAGGUAAAGGCCCACCAAGGCGACGAUCCGUAGCUGGUCUGAGAGGAUGAUCAGCCACACUGGAACUGAGACACGGUCCAGACUCCUACGGGAGGCAGCAGUAGGGAAUAUUGGACAAUGGGCGCAAGCCUGAUCCAGCAAUGCCGCGUGAGUGAAGAAGGCCUUCGGGUUGUAAAGCCCUUUUAUUAGGAAAGAAAAGCAGCAGGUUAAUACCCCGCUGUUCUGACGGUACCCAAAGAGUAAGCACCGGCUAACUUCGUG
rnacentral:rRNA from 1 species